UUUUGUUCUAGCCAAACCCAAGCAAGCCAAGCCCAAUCUCCAUGUCUCACCAAUAGCUGAAUCUGUCCCAAAAGAGCCCUAGCCCUUAGCGUCCCCUUCGUCUCCCUUUCCCACUGAACUUCGAGCUCUCUCACCUCCCUGCUCAUCAGCUCUCGCGAUCUCAAGCUUUCUCCCUCUCUCGUCGCUGGUCUCGCACUCAAGGUUCUCGUCGCUCUCCAUGUCGCCAUUCGUCACCAUCUCGCACUCAGUCUCGCUCGCACGCCUUUCCUGAGCUCGUUGUCGCCGGCGGCAGAAGCAGCUAGUCCCGGGACUAGUCGUCGUCAUCGCUCCAUUUAUCCUCACCGUCUCGCACUUAGUCGUGCGCCUUCUCGCGCUCGUCGUUGCCAGCGGCCGAAGUAGCCGGUCCCGAGGUUGGACGUCGUUGUCGUCUUGUUACUUUGAAUCUCGCCGUCAGCUUCCUCCCUGCCCUCAGAUUCCUUCGCCCAACCAGAGGCUGGUCCUCGAUUUGAAUUCAAGGCCUGUUAUUCCUUCCGAUUGCCCACCUGCAAUGGGCGCUUUAAUCGAGCAAUGUUGGUCCGUGCAUCCAGACAAGAGGCCUGAGUUCUGGCAGGUUGUUGAGGUGUUAGAACAAUUCGAAUCAUCACUUGCAUUGGACGGAACCUUGACUCUGGUGCAAAACCCUUUGUACCAGGAUCAUAAGAAAGGGCUUCUUCAUUGGAUUCAAAAGUUUAGUCCUUCUCAUCAAAAUAGUGGUCCAGCACUUAAACCUAGAUUCUCAAUUUCUCAUGAAUCUUCUGAGUAGCCUGGCUUUUGUAGUAGUGAUAGCACCCCAGGUCCAUUGUAAUUAAAAAAUGGUAAGUUUGGAGUGUAGAAAAGGACAAGAAGAAAAAGGAGAAAAGAAAAGAAAGUUUUUUUUUAUCUUUUUUUUUUUUAAAAUGCUCUGGUUAUAGUAAUCUUUAUGAAAUUCUUAUGGAGGGUAAAUUGGUUUGUGUAUAUUGAGGCGAAAGCGUGUUUAUUUGUCCUAUUGUGCAUACACACUAAUUAUAUUGAAGCUAUGACAAUGGGUUAGGAGCAGUCUUUUUUUUACCACAGUUUUCUGUUUUUGUUUGUUGUUAAUACAGUUAUAAAGUACUCAUAUUU